UCUCAUUUUAAAACCCUAAAUUCAUUCCCUUUCUCUGUCAUUUUUGUGUUUUGCCGCAGCCUCCCUUUCCCACUGCCGCUCUGCAUUCCUUUCAUUCCGACGAUGGAAUGAAGAUCCCUCAACGCCGCAUGCGACGAAAAUUUUUCGCAGGUAUGAAGGUCGUGGAGGACGUGCGCAAAGUGCUGAACAUGGGGCGAUGUUGAGGCGUGGGUGAGGUUGCCGCGGCUGCUAAUUUUGCUGCUAGCUGUUUAGGGUUAGGCCAGGGUUAGACUUCGGUUUGGGAUUUGUAAUGAUUUGGGCCUUAUUGGGUCAGAAUUGGUUAAUUUGGGCCCUGGGCAACAAUUGGGUAUCACAGUACUAAUUAUAUUUUUGAGCUUUUUUGGCCAUCAACUUUUGUUUUUUUUCUCAAUGUGUUUUUUCUAACAGAUUUAAUGAAAAUACCGUUAAAAAAGUUAACGGGAA